GAUAUAAACGAAUAAAUGCCUCAUAUAAUCUCAGGGAUAGGGCCUGAACGUUUCUACCUAACGACCGUAAAUUGUUAGACUAUGAGGGAAGUGGAUAAGUCU
rnacentral:ncRNA from 2 species